rnacentral:lncRNA from 1 species
AUUGAGCUGUAGGAGGCGUUUAUAAAUUUUGGAGAUUAAUCCCUUGUCAGUGGAUUCACUUGCAAAGAUUUUCUCCCAUUCUGUGUGUUGUCUUUUUGUUUUGUUUAGGGUAUACUUUGCUGUGCAGAAACUUUUAAUUAAGUCCCAUUUGUUUAUUUUUGUUUUUACCGUCGUUACUCUAAGUGGUGGAUCUGAGAAGAUGUUCCUUUUGUUUAUGUCAGAGAGUGUUUGGCCUAUGUUUUCCUCUAAGAGUUUUAUAGUGUCUGGUCUUAUAUCUAGGUCUUUAAUCCAUUUGAGUUUAUUUUUGUGUAUGGUGUUAGCAGUGUUCUAAUUUCAUUCUUUUCCAUGUGGCUGUCCAGUUUUUGCAGCACCACUUAUUGAAGGACUGUCUUGUCUCCAUUGUGUAUUCUUGCCUCCUUCGUCAUAGAUUAGUUGGCUGUAGGUGUGUGGGUUUAAUUCCGGGCUUUCUAUCCUGUUCCACUGAUCUAUAUGUCUGUCUUUGUGCCAGUACCAUAUGGUUUUGAUGGUUGUUGCUUUGUAGUAGAGUCUGAAGUCAGGGAGCCUGAUUCCUCCAGCUCCAUUUUUCUUUUUCGGGAUAUCUUUGGCUAUUCCGGGUCUUUUGUGCUUCCAAACAAAGUUUAAAAUAGUUUCUUCAAGUUCUGUGUAAAAUGUCCUUGGUAAUUUGGUAGGGAUUGCAUUGAAUCUGUAGAUUGCCUUAGGUAGUAUAGUCAUUUUGAUCAUAUUAACUCUUCCAAUCCAAGAGCCUGGUAUGUCUUUCCAUCUGUUUGUGUCAUCUUUGAUUUCUUUCAUCAGUGUCUUAUAGUUUUCAGAGUACAGGUCUUUUGUCUCUUUAGGUAGGCUUACUCCUAGGUAUUUUAUUCUUUUGGAUGUGAUGGUAAACGGGAUCACUUCCCUAGGAGAAGAACUAUCUUUGUAGGCAACAUUGCUUAUGAUAAAAAUGAACCCUGACUGAUACCAUAUUUGGACUGGGAAGAACUAUAAAUUAAAUAAAUACACAUGCCUGAAGGAGGCACCAUCCUUGCCCCCCCCCCCAUGAAUGGUGUGACUUACCAGGGCAUGCCCUUUGAGCACCCUGGAAUUACAUCUACAGAGUUAUCAUAUAACAUAACUCUAGUGGAACAUAAGACUUGUACCCAGAGUAUAUUCCAUACUCCUGAGCUGUCCCCAGAAGGCUCCAUGAAACGCUAGACAAACCACCUCAAGAACUCUAGCCAAGAACUCGUGUUGUGGCUCAGCAGGUUGAGAACCCAAAUAGUGUCUGUUAGGAUAUGGGUUCAAUCCCUGGCCUCACUCAGUGGGUUACGGAGCUGGCGUUGCCCCAAGCUGCUGCGUAGGUCACAGGUGCAGCUUGGAUUUGUUGUGGCUGUGGCUGUGGUGUAGGCUGGCAGCUCCAAUUCAACCCUUAGCCUGGAAACUUCCAUAUGCAGAAGGUGCGGCUGUAAAAAGAAGAAAAACAAAACUCUGAUAAAAAGGAACACCUGAUGCUGCCCCGUUGGCAAGCUACUCUCCCAUCCUAUUUCCUUCCAAAGUCUAGUGCCUUGUGUGGCCUAUGAUGGUCUCGUGAGUCUGUUUAGUUAAAGCUAAAAGGACUCCUGAAAUACACACAUUUCAGGGGAUCUCUGUAGUAAUUCUUGCAUAUUUCAAUGGGGGUUAGAAGACUGAAGGAGAUAAUAAACAUGAAACACUAUAUAAAUGGCAAAGCACUAUCUAAAUAUAUUUUCUAUUAUUAAAAAUACAAAAAUAUAUAGAAUAAAUAGGUUGAUUUUCAUCACUAAAACUAAUGGCCAGAUCAUUAAAGGCCUAGGAACAGGCAUACCCAGCAUAAAAGUGAGCCAUAGCCCCCUGCCCAUUGCAAGGGCACAGCUAAACUCUAAUUAUAUUAAGUAGCAGUAAGCACUUGCAGCUGAGACUGAGGUUGGUCACCAUGUGGCUACGGGGAAGAGCUGUGUUUCAGAAAAAAGCAAAGGAGCUAGCUAGCACCCUCUUACUGACUCUCUCUUAAUCACAGACAAGGAAACUGGGAAAGACCCAUCUAUCCAGGACUUGCCGGAGGUUCUACAGCCUGCCCUGAAGGCUGCCCUUUGUGACAAGAAUGCCAGUGUACAGAUGGCAGCAGCAUUAUGCCAGUAUGCUAUACAGUCACAUAAUCCUCUUGCCCAAGACAUCUUGCAUGCUGCCCUUUUGAAGAGUGAGUAACCCCUUGUUACGUCUCACCUAGAAAUAUGGGGUAGUGAGAAGACAUCUCACCAUCAGCUUUUCCUAAUCCUUUCCUCUCUACCAUCAUGCUCUGGGUUUACGUUAUUCAAGGAUUUGUUCUUCUUCGGUACUUUUACAAAAUAGGUACUCUGCCACCUAGUGGUACCUGGGCUAAAUGUUUUAUAGGUUCAUUCUAUUCGAAACUAUGCCCCCCUCCCACACAACUAGCUUUUCAAUUGAAAAGAUAAUAUAACAAUAUUAAAGAAUACCUUUCUAAAAAUUUAAAAAUCACUACUUAAACACAUCAUGCUUCCAUUUUGCACAUUAACUUACCGGCACUGUCUACAUGCAUCGUCAGAGUAAUACAAGCAAAAGGUGCUUUACUGCUGUGUCUGAAAAACGUACCUGUUCCUUGCCUGGUGGCAAGGGUGCAGGACAACUGGCCGACUGAUUUGGCCUUCUGCAGACACGCAACAACUUAAUUCAUCUGUCUUAAGAAAGUCUCCACUUCAGAUUUCCUAGUCUCUAACAGGAGGAAACAACUACUUCUCUCACCCAGGCCGGAGAUGUCUUACUGCUCUGUUACCUAACAAAAACAUUUUAGGAUUUUACUUUUCAGGUUAAAAUUUUCAGUCUAUUAUUUAGAACCCUGAUAUGGUCCAUUCAAAUGUGGUUUAAAUAAGACGCUGAAUUUUGAGACUGAGGGGAAACAGAGAAGCGAGAUACCAGGCAGAUAGCAGCCUAGGGUACUAACCCAAAGGCUGGUCUCUCUGUAGGGAGAACAGAUCGCCAUUCUGGACUCCUUUUUCACCCCACUUUGGCAGGUAAUAGCGCAGACAGCUGGGCUGCAGCUCAGUGCUUGGCUUUGGAAGGUGCUGCCACUUACCCCGUGAUUAAGAGGAUCCUCCAACAGCUGUUUGACAAGAAGAAUGAAGACACGGAGCACCGGUCUUGUAUGCUCCUGAGCCAUCUCAGUAGGAAGACAGUAUGUGUCCAUUAUAGAGUCAGAGAAAGAAACCCAGGUUUUGGGGGAAUGACUGGGUCUUUGAGGUCAGUGCAUAUAAGGAAUUAAAAAUGCACAUGAUUGGGUAGGAUGAUCUUAAGCACAGGUAAAACUGGACCAAGUGCAUGAACUGGAGUGUAUACAGGGAAAAGUGACAACAACUAGCUGAGAAAGGUAGACUGCAGAUGGUUUUUCACUGUGUAUGUAUAAGAGUUGUGAUAUAUGGAAUUUGCUUUUGUUUGGUUUUGUUUACCACUGAAAACCACAGAGCUGCCACUGUGUUUUCUUUCAGCAGAAAUGUAGCAUCCACAGAUUGAAGCAUAUACAAAUCAUUUUAGGGGGAGAGACAGUUACACCAAGAAGAGGUCAGGGAGUUCCCAUUAUGGCUUAGCAGGUUAAGGACCCAGCAUUGCCUCUGUGAGGAUGCAAGUUGGAUCUCCAGCCUUGCUUAGUGGAUUAAGGAUCCAGUGUUGCUGUGGCUGUGGUGUAGGCCUGCAGCUGCAGUUCCUAUUUGACCCCUUGCCUGGGAACUUCCAUAUGCCACAAGUGUGGCCAUUAAAAAAAAACUAGAAGAGGAGGUCAGGAAUUUUCUGUUGAGAUUACUAAAUCUACAUUUUGCUCCCUGAUUUACGAUCGUAGAGGUCAGCUGGCUUGGAUAGAAGCACAUCCCAUUGCAAACCCACGUUUUCCUUUGCUAGGGAUGGCAUCUCCUGUGUUUGUCACAUUAGUUAUGCUGGAUGCCAGGUUAGGAUGUAACUUCAAGGUUCCAGCAUCAAAUAUCAAUACAAGUCUUCCAUUUCCUCAGACCCUGGUACACAGCAUGCUUGCUGUGGAGCUGAAUAGCCAUCAAUGGAAAGACCGGAUUGUGGCCUGCCGGGCUCUCUCCCAGAUUGGUGGACAUGUCAGUUUGGUAAGCUUCUCUUCCUGUGUUUCCAGGACAGAAAGUCUAACCAAAACUGGGCUAGGGAGCUCUUCUACUUUUUUGCUGCUAUCUAGGAUCCCAUUCUUAUGAAAUGGAUCUCUGUCCCGACACUGCUACCUCUUACUCCUACCCCAGAAUUAUCUUUAAAUGCCAACAUACUGUUCUUACUUGAGCCACUGCUUCCCAGCAUGAUGGCAGUCCACAAACUGUAACCUACCACAAUGAAAUAAGCAAAAAGAAACAGAGAGAGAAACAUUUAGAGACCUUUAUAGUAAGUUGACAUUGCCUCAACAUCAAGGUCUUUUAUAAGUAUCAGUCAAGACUGUCCCUACUUUCAAAAACUUGACAUCAGAGUUGGAUUACAAGACUAACAUAUACAAGUGAUUCAAGAAAAAGGGACACAUAGAAGGUACUCCCUUAAAACUUUCAGAGAGAGAGAAAUUAGUGUGGGCUGAAGUUAUCAGUUAAAGUUCUCUGAAGCCACCUGAGACAGCUGAGCAAGGCUUGGACAGAACUGAAAAAAAGACUUCCCAGCAGGCAUGGAAAACUCUGACCAUCAUUUAGGCUUUCACAUGACCUUCGCCUUGCCAUUGCCAUUGUUUCAAAAUGAACUUCAGCUGUUCAAAUGGGAUUUUUCCUUUCCUCCAAGGUGCCACUACCUUUUCCUUAUAACACUGAGUUCCUCCAAAACAGCCCAGAACACUGUCAUCCUGAGAAGUGAGCGACCUCCAUUUUGACCUUCACACUUU